rnacentral:lncRNA from 1 species
GCCCAAGUGUGGCUCGACCAACCCUUAUGCACCCAUGGGUAGGUUUUUAACUAAUUAUUUUAUCAAAUAAUUUCUGACAUUCAAUUUUACCCUAAACACCUCUUCAGAAGGAGUGUGGCGCCUCCACUAAAAAUUUUGCUUAGGUCCAAAUAUUAACAUGCCAGAAUUUAGUGCAUCUAACAAACGAGUGAUUAGGCUCAAGUGUGGCUCGACCAACCUGACCAUCAUCAGAAAGAUAUGAGUAAAUUAAUAUAUUGUGAAUGAUAAUUCUA